GCAGGUUUUUUUUUUUUAUAAAGAUAACAUAGAUGCUGAAUUUCCUACCAGUAGAGGCAUCCUGAGCGUUGUUUUCACACUGACACUCCAUUUCUCAGCAACGGACACAGCAUCGAUCUUUGUUAAAGUUCUACAAACAGGAAGUGGAUCAAGUCCUUAGUAGGCUCUCAAUGAGAGGAUCUGACGCAGCUCACACGUGGGAACGUUUUUAUUCCUGCUGAGUGCUAAGACACUCCCUGCCCUGGCCUGCCCUCAACAGGAACGCUGCUUCCAGUUUAUUGAGCUGAACAAUGAGGUGGGGGAAAAAAAAAAAAAAAACUCCAAGUAUGCGUAUAAUUAGGCCUCCCUUUGGACUGGCACACCUUCGUUCCAGCAGAACUGGAAAUGCUGCCCAGCAACUACAGUGCACAAUCUCUUUCAGUUUGAAAUAAUACAAACUAGAGGCGCCUUUAUAUAAAAAAAAAAAAGUUUAAUUCAACACAUCAUCAGUCAUACAAUUUGUUUUGUUUCCUUACAAACAUGUUCCUACACAGUAUUUCUUGUUGGUUUUAUUUUCUUUACAGUGUUGUAGUCAGCGUCACCUAGAAUGGGAGAUCUUGGAAAUUCCAAUGUGAUAUUUGGGCAAAUUGGGAUUUUCACAAUAUGAGGAAAUUAAGACAAUUAGCUUGCUGACCCUGAAUAAGGUCAUUUUACUGGCACUUCCUUUUUAAACCUUGCUGGACAUUGAGAGGGUUUCUGAAAUGUCCUCAUGAACCCAUUCGCUCGCUCAGAGCAUCUAUUAGAUCCUGCUUCUUGGUCCCCGUGGUUCUGAUCCCAAACUGCUUGCACGCCUCCUUUAGCAUCGGCACGGUCAGCUUUGCCAGCGUACCGUUCUGCAUGUGGGUCUUCAACUCGUCUUCUGUCACCUCCACCUUGGGCUUCUUCUCAGCUCCACCUCCAGCAUCGGCUGCAUGCAACCAAACAUAUAUGAUCAAAUACUGCGUCAGAUCUGCAAUAUGGCAGCAAUAAACAAAUCCAAAAUAAGAGAACUCAGAGUCUGACCCGUUUUACGCUUGGGAGCGGGUUUGGUCUCUGGAUUGUACCCGGCAGGGUAGACCAGAUCUUUAAACUCUUCAACCAAAGGGCCGAGUCGUUGGUCAAUCUGGUCCACUUUUGGCACUGAGGUGGAAAAAAACAAAAAACAAAAAAAACACAAGAAAAAUGGUCCAGAGUUCAGUUCAGAUAAAAGUAGAGAGUUUGAUGGACAACAAAGCUUUUAAUGUGCUUCUUACUGAUGAGAUCCUCUAUGUCCUCUGGAGCCAUCAUGUCCAGAGCCAGGGCCUCCAGGUUCCUGAAAUGCUGCUGGAGGACAGGGUUCUCAAAAGCAUCACUCCUGUAUGACAUUAAAACAGAAGGAAGCAGCUGAAAUGUGAUGCUGUCACAUCUAUCUACCGAUUUCUGAAUCCCAAAUCAAAGCUGUGGGGCUUAGUCAGGCUAUACGGUCUGAAUAUGGUUAGAGAAUUUACAGUUUCCACACACAAUUACCGGCACGUCAGGCAAAAACGUGUAAAAAAAACUCCAACCUUUAUUUCUCUACAUUCACUUAAUACAGGGGAAAAAACAAACUCAUGGAUAACAUGAUUACUGGCACUGCUAAUAGAAUCAAUGUUAGUUUAGCUUUUUUUUUUUAAACUUAUACUCAAUAUAUGAGAUGAUCAGGGUGUUCUACAAAUUUCUAAUGACUUAUCCAUGCAUAAGUGAGACAUGACACAAAGGCCUCUAUCUUUUAGCCACUCUUAAAAAUCAAAAAGAAAACAUCUUUACAAGUCAUAAAAUGGCUACGAGGAAAACACUUGUCACAUCUAUGGUGAAACUAAAAAUUAUGAUUUUAAAGCAACUACAACUGUGAAAAACCGGACUGAACGAGGACUCCGGUUUAUCUUGUCACCGUACACAGUAAGGAGGUAAAAAA